AUUGAACGCUGGCGGCAGGCUUAACACAUGCAGGACGAGCGGUAACAGAGAGAAGCUUGCUUCUCUGCUGACGAGCGGCGGACGGGUGAGUAAUGCCUAGGAAUCUGCCUAGUAGUGGGGGAUAACUUGCCGACAGGUAAGCUAAUACCGCAUACGUCCUACGGGAGAAAGGAGGGGACCUUCGGGCCUUUCGCUAUUAGAUGAGCCUAGGUCGGAUUAGUUAGUUGGUGAGGUAAUGGCUCACCAAGACCGAGAUCCGUAACUGGUCUGAGAGGAUGAUCAGUCACACUGGAACUGAGACGCGGUCCAGACUCCUACGGGAGGCAGCAGUGGGGAAUAUUGGACAAUGGGGGGAACCCUGAUCCAGCCAUGCCGCGUGUGUGAAGAAGGUCUUAGGAUUGUAAAGCACUUUAAGUUGGGAGGAAGAGCAGUUAACUAAUAUUUGACUGUUUUGACGUUACCGACAGAAUAAGCACCGGCUAACUUCGUGCCAGCCGCCGCGGUAA
rnacentral:rRNA from 1 species